rnacentral:lncRNA from 1 species
GACAGAUCUAAGGAGGUGAGAUCAGACUCUUCAGCUUAUAAGAAGGAUAAAAGCAGUCCAACCUCUUUGACACAGUUGUGCAAACAGCUGGAGGAGAGAAUCACUCGGAAAUCACUGCGUUACCCCAUCCACCAUGAAGACCGUCAGUCUCUGACUGCAGUGUUGAUCUCUGAGCUGGGUCUGAUCUAGCAGGACCUGAAAACCCCGCCUGUGGACACCACACUCACCCAGGAAGAGAAAGUGCAGCUGCACUGCCAGACAUUCAGUGAGGUGCUGCACAUCUGUGAGCAGCUAUUUCUGCACUCCCUGCAACUGAUGGAGACUCUACGGAGGCGAGGUGUCUUCAGCGACCAUGUCAACCGCAGCAGGGUGGCAGCUCAGCUCGCUAUUGACUGCACCAGUCUCUUGAAUGUCCGAUCCAUAAGAUGCAGGAUUGUCACAGGAAUCAAGAAUGCACGGAGGGUCAGACAAAGUGCUGUUACACACGCACUACAUAUGCGCUCUCAUAACAAUGAGAGGUCCAUGACGGCCACACCAUGGGAAAAAGCUGUGGAGGAUGACCUCAAGGAGGUGUGUUUGUGUUUGUGUGUGUGCAUGUUGUAAAGAGAGACAGUGAGGUUAUAUUAAUGAAUUUCUGUGUGUCCAGAUUCAGGAGAAAAUUGGAGAGCUGGAUCUGCAACAUGUGUAUGACCUCCUGCCCUGUAACAUGGAGCCAAUUACCUACAAGACAGACACACAUUGGAUGCCAUUCCAUGCCUGACCUACAGAGGGAGACACUGCUGGAGGAGCUGGAGAUAACGCUGCUUGAUCGGCCUCCAACCUCUCCAAGAUUAUUACAGGAGAGUGAAUACGAGGAUGACGGUAACUGUGAGACAGAUCUGUGCUCGCUUAUAGAAUCCCUGACCUGCUAUAGUUCCAGCAGACUCCAAAGGCUCAAGCAAAAACUACAGAAAAUGAUGGAGGAAGAUGAAGAAGCACAAAGUUCUUGUGAAGAAACCUCUGCACCCACAAGGAGACGUGGUCAGUGUGGGGUUUUCUCCUCAAAUCAUCAUGCGCACAGCAGUGGCCCGAGUGUCCGAUAG